rnacentral:rRNA from 1 species
CAUGUAGGCGGUCGGUCAAGUCUGAUGUGAAAGCCCGGGGCUUAACCUCGGAAGGGCGUUGGAAACUGGUCGACUUGAGUUCGGGAGAGGGAAGCGGAAUUCCGGGUGUAGAGGUGAAAUUCGUAGAUAUCCGGAGGAACACCGGUGGCGAAGGCGGCUUCCUGGACCGAAACUGACGCUGAGAUGCGAAAGCGUGGGGAGCAAACA